AUUGAACGCUGGCGGCAUGCCUUACACAUGCAAGUCGAACGGCAGCACGGGUGCUUGCACCUGGUGGCGAGUGGCGAACGGGUGAGUAAUACACCGGAACGUACCUUAUCGUGGGGGAUAACGCAGCGAAAGCUGUGCUUAUACCGCAUACGCCCUGAGGGGGAAAGCGGGGGAUCGAAAGACCUCGCGCGAUUAGAGCGGCCGAUGCCUGAUUAGCUUGUUGGUGGGGUAAAAGCCCACCAAGGCGACGAUCAGUAGCUGGUCUGAGAGGACGAUCAGCCACACUGGGACUGAGACACGGCCCAGACUCCUACGGGAGGCAGCAGUGGGGAAUUUUGGACAAUGGGGGCAACCCUGAUCCAGCAAUGCCGCGUGAGUGAAGAAGGCCUUCGGGUUGUAAAGCUCUUUUGUCAGGGAAGAAACACCGGCUCUAACACAGUCCGGGAAUGACGGUACCUGAAGAAUAAGCACCGGCUAACUACGUGCCAGCCGCCGCGGUAA
rnacentral:rRNA from 1 species